rnacentral:piRNA from 1 species
UUCAUAAGCAUGCUUGGCAAAGGAGGGCAGU